UGGGGAAUAUUGGGCAAUGGGCGCAAGCCUGACCCAGCAACGCCGCGUGAAGGAAGAAGGCUUUCGGGUUGUAAACUUCUUUGGCAGGGGAAGAUAAUGACGGUACCCUGAAAACAAGCUCCGGCUAACUACGUGCCAGCAGCCGCGGUGAUACGUAGGGAGCAAGCGUUAUCCGGAAUUACUGGGUGUAAAGGGCGCGUAGGCGGGUCUGCAAGUCAGAUGUGAAAUUGCCGGGGCUUAACCUCGGAGCUGCAUUUGAAACUGUAGGUCUUGAGUGAUGGAGAGGCAGGCGGAAUUCCCGGUGUAGCGGUGGAAUGCGUAGAUAUCGGGAGGAACACCAGUGGCGAAGGCGGCCUGCUGGACAUUAACUGACGCUGAGGCGCGAAAGUGUGGGGAGCAAACAGGAUUAGAUACCC
rnacentral:rRNA from 1 species